AGUGAACGCUGGCGGCGUGCUUAACACAUGCAAGUCGAACGAGAACGGAUUAUAGCUUGCUAUAAUUGUCAGCUAAGUGGCGCACGGGUGAGUAAUGUAUAGGUAAUAUGCCUCUUACUAAGGGAUAACAAAUGGAAACGUUUGCUAAUACCUUAUACUCCUUAUUAACAGGAGUUAAUAAGGGAAAGAUUUAUUGGUAAGAGAUUAGCCCGUAUUGUAUCAGUUAGUUGGUGGGGUAAUGGCUUACCAAGACUAUGACACAUAACUGGUUUGAGAGGAUGAUCAGUCACACUGGAACUGAGACACGGUCCAGACUCCUACGGGAGGCAGCAGUGGGGAAUAUUGCACAAUGGACGAAAGUCUGAUGCAGCAACGCCGCGUGGAGGAUGACACAUUUCGGUGAGUAAACUCCUUUUAUAUGAGAAGAUAAUGACGGUAUUAUAUGAAUAAGCACCGGCUAACUCCGUGCCAGCCGCCGCCGUAA
rnacentral:rRNA from 1 species